rnacentral:pre_miRNA from 1 species
CGAGGGAGGCCGGAUCCUGGGCUGUGUCCCGGCGCCCUGUGCUCCGGGGCCUGCGCUGUUGGAUUCACGCUCCCGCCCCGCAGCCCCCU